UACGGAGGGGGCUAGCGUUGUUCGGAAUUACUGGGCGUAAAGCGCACGUAGGCGGCUUUGUAAGUUAGAGGUGAAAGCCCGGGGCUCAACUCCGGAAUUGCCUUUAAAACUGCAUCGCUAGAAUUGUGGAGAGGUAAGUGGAAUUCCGAGUGUAGAGGUGAAAUUCGUAGAUAUUCGGAAGAACACCAGUGGCGAAGGCGACUUACUGGACACAUAUUGACGCUGAGGUGCGAGAGCGUGGGGAGCAAACAGG
rnacentral:rRNA from 1 species